rnacentral:rRNA from 1 species
CCUACGGGAGGCAGCAGUGAGGAAUAUUGGUCAAUGGGCGGAAGCCUGAACCAGCCAAGUAGCGUGCAGGAUGACGGCCCUACGGGUUGUAAACUGCUGUUAUACGGGAAUAACGCGCCUUACGUGUAGGGCUUUGCAUGUACCGUAUGAAUAAGGACCGGCUAAUUCCGUGCCAGCAGCCGCGGUAAUACGGGAGGUACGGGAGUUAUCCGGAUUUAUGGGGUUGAAAGGGUUGGUAGGCCGCAUGUCAAGCGUGCUGUGAAAUGUGCGGGCUAAACCCGGGCCUUGCAGCGCGAACUGGCGUGCUUGAGUCCGCGGAAGGCAGGCGGAAUUCGUCGUGUAGCGGUGAAAUGCUUAGAUAUGACGAAGAACCCCGAUUGCGAAGGCAGCUUGCUGCAGCGGAACUGACGCUGAUGCUCGAAAGCGCGGGUAUCGAACAGGAUUAGAUACCCUAGUAGUC